UCUGAAUUUUAAGAAAUUUGAUUUUAGAAUAUAUUGACUUUUAGUGCCUAACAAUUCUAUUCAUAUGGCUUUUCACCUGUUGUGAUAUAUGUUGCCUUCUGCUGACUACUUGUUGACUUGUUUUGAUGCUAGAAAUAGUUUUAACCUCGACUAUUCAAGUCCUGAAGAAGGCUCAGACAUGAGCCGAAACGUCGACGAUGAAUAAAUGAGUUUCACAUAA